rnacentral:lncRNA from 1 species
UGGGAUCCUCCUAACUACUCUUGGUCGUCGUCAGCGGCUGCACGUAGUAGUAGGCACCUCCGGUGUAGUAGGAGUCGUCGUCGACAGUGGCGUCUGGCUCCUGGACUCCAUAGUCUGGUCGCAGCAAUUGGGUAGAGAAAUGGAAAAAAGGGGGAACAAGGCAACCGUGAGCACUCAUCCAAAGUACUCGCAAGCAAGGAACUACACUACAUAUGCGUGGGUAUAUGUGUAAAGGGGCAUAUUGGUGGACUGAACUGCAGAAUGCCAGAAUAAGAGGGGGAUAGCUAAUCCUGUCGAAGACUACGCUUCUGGCAGCCUCCGUCUUGCAGCAUGUAGAAGAGAGUAGACUGAAGUCCUCCAAGUAGCAUCACAUAGCAUAAUCCUACCCGGCGAUCCUCUCCUCGUCACCCUGUUAGAGAGCGAUCACUGGUUGUAUCUGGCACUUGGAAGGGUGUGUUUUAUUAAGUAUCCGGUUCUAGUUGUCAUAAGGUCAAGGUACAACUCCAAGUCGUCCUAUUACCGAAGAUCACGGCUAUUCGAAUAGAUUAACUUCCCUGCAGGGGUGCACCACAUAACCCAACACGCUCGAUCCCAUUUGGCCGGACACACUUUCCUGGGUCAUGCCCGGCCUCGGAAGAUCAACACGUCGUAGCCCUACCUAGGCACUAUAGAGAGGUCAGCACGCCGGUCUAAAUCCUAUGGCACAGGGGUCUGGGCCCAUCGCCCAUUGCAUACCUGCACGUUGCGAGGGCGGCCGGAAGCAGACCUAGCCUAGCAGGCGUUCCAGUCCAAUCUGGCGCGCGCCGCUUAGUCGCUGAUGUCACGACUGUCCCCGCAUAGAUGGUUAGUGCGUAUAGGCCAGUGGCCAGACUCAGAUCAAAUACCAAGAUCUCGUUAAAUGUGUUAUCUUGAAAUAACCGCGUACGCCGACCAGGGCCAGGCCCACCUCUCUCCUAGGUGGUCUCAACCUGCCCUAUCGCUUCGCCACAAAGAUUCACAUAGAGGGACGUUGGGACAAAGGUCCUUUCAGCCCCCAAUCCGUGAAUCACUCAUGGGUGCUCCAUGAGCCGACCCGACUUUAGUCACCACAUGUAUCAUGUAUAAAGUAUAUAGUAUAUACCCUUGAUCACCUCCCGAGUGAUCACGGCCCGAUAGUAUAGCAUGGCAUACGAACAAGAAUGUAGGGCCACUGAUGAUAAACUAGCAUCCUAUACUAAGCAUUAGGAUUGCAGGUAAAGGUAACAACAGUACUAGCAAGGACAGGCUAUGCAUCAGGAUAGGAUUAACGGAAAGCAGUAACAUGCUACACUACUUUAAUGCAAGCAGUAUAGAGGAGAGUAGGCGAUAUCUGGUGAUCAAGGGGGGCUUGCCUGGUUCCUCUGACAAGAGAGAGGGGUCAUCAACACCGUAGUCGUACUGGGUAGCAGCGGCGUCGGUCUCGGUGUCUAGCGAGAGAAGAGGGGGAAGAAACAAUAAAUAUUAAGCAAAUAGAUGCAUGAUGAUGCCUGACAUGACAAAGCGUGAUGCUAGGUGUGCCCUAACGCGGUAUGAGGUGGUACUGAUGAAGGGGGCAAACAUCUGGGAAAAUAUCCCCGGUGUUUCGUGUUUCUGGACAAAUGAACCGAAGGGGGAAAGUUGCGUGUUCGCUAUGCUAGGGAUGCGUGGCGGAGGAACGGGCUGCGUAUUCAGAUUCGUCUCGUUGUUCUGAGCAACUUUCAUGUACAAAGUAUUUCCAUCGGAGUUACGAAUUAUUUUAUAUUAAUUUUCAAAGUUUUAUUGAAUUUCUAGGGUUAUUUAAUUAUGAAAUAAUAAUAGAAUACUUUUGUCACCUAGCUCUAGUCUAGACAAAGUGCAUGACAGGUGGGGUCCACGGGGGUCCAAUCAACUGUUGACCAGUCAACAGUUGACUGGUCAACUGGGUCAUGGGUCCUAGAUGUCAUUGACACAGACUUUUAAUUAGGCUUAAAAAAUAAGAUAGGCCCACCUGAUAUAAACUGCAUCUAAAGCAAAUCAGUCAAAUUAGUUAAUUUAAAGGGAUUAGCACUAAUGGAGAUUAGCUCCUAAUCUCAACAGGGGGCCGGCCCAGGUCGUAGUGGCCUAGGAGGUCACACACACGAACACGCACAACACACACCUACAGCACACGGACGCACAAGCACUCGGCCAUGGCCACAGCCACAGCCGAGGCGAGCGCCGGACAGCAUCGGCGAACGCUGGCUUGCACCGGCGGCAGUGGGUGCUAGUAGGCGGCGGCAGCAGUAGGUAGCGACAGCAACAUCAUAGUAGCGACGCCGCAAGCAGCAGGCCGGGACACGGGCGCGCACGCACACACUAUGCAGGGACGUCGACAGCUGAAGCCAACAGCCCCAGCCGCAUGCAGCAGCGCGACACCAGGGAGGCGGGUGUGCUCGCACGCCCGGGGCGCGGCAGCGCACGGUGUGGGCGUUGGACAAGCGGCAGCGUGCGGUGCAGGCAGCGCCGCAGCACGCAGCGGUAGUAGCCGGAGCAGGGGAAUGGGCGACAACGAGCGGCGAGCAGGGCAUCAGAGUGACAAUAGGCAGCAACAGUAGCGUGGUAGAGUAGAGGCAAGAAGCAGAGCAGCAGAGCAACUGAAGGAGAAGCCGGCGUGCAUGCGCGGACACUGAGGUUCGGCCAUGGCGGCCGCUGGCUUGUACAAGCGGCUAUGGUAACGAAUCGAGACCGGGGUGAUGGGGAUUCGGGGGAGGAGCUCACCGCGAGCUCGAUGACGAGGCCGGGGAAGCCGGAGACGGACCGGAGCAGCGGCAAUCGACGACGAACGAUGGUGAUGUACGCGACGGAAAAGAGCUUGAUGGCGAGUGUACGAUGCGGUCCUGCCCGAUUUGAUACCCGGGAUGGACGAAGUCGACGAUGGUGGUCAUUCUGGACAUCUUCUCAGGCGACGGGAAGCACGAUGGCCGCGGCGACGAUGACGGCCAUGACGAUCACGGCUCGGGCAAGAUCUAAAUUGAGAAAGACAGAGAAGGAGGGGAAGAAUGGGGAUCAGGGUUUGUCACAGCGACGGGGGGCUCUUAUCCUUCUCGGGGUGUCGUGGAUGCUCGACACGAGCUAAUCGGGCGCG